UACGUAGGGUCCGAGCGUUGUCCGGAUUUAUUGGGCGUAAAGAGCUCGUAGGCGGUCUGUCGCGUCUGCUGUGAAAACUCAGGGCUUAACCCUGAGCUUGCAGUGGGUACGGGCAGACUAGAGUGCGGUAGGGGAGACUGGAAUUCCUGGUGUAGCGGUGAAAUGCGCAGAUAUCAGGAGGAACACCGGUGGGCCGAAGGCGGGUCUCUGGGCCGUAACUGACGCUGGAGGAG
rnacentral:rRNA from 1 species